CUCUUAUCCCGAGAUGGUGGAGGGACAGGCCCGAGGAAACCCGGCAACCUACUUAUUGCAAGUAAGGUGCUAACCGAUGCAAGGUGAUUCCUUGAACGAUAAGAG
rnacentral:ncRNA from 2 species